UGUGCAUUAAAAAAUUGUAUCUUUACCAUAGGACAUGGGUUUGUCAACUGAAAUCAAAGUUUUUGACCUUGACCUUUGACCUAGGAGGUUGUAAAUAAAUUAUGACACACCCUUUGGUGUUGGUUUAUAUACAUGGCAAGUAUAAACUUUGAAAUGAUAACGGUUCUCAAGAUAUAGAGCGGACACGAUCUUUAUCAUAGGACAUGGGGUUGUCAACUGAAACCAAAGUUUUUGACCUUAAACUUUGCCCUAGGCAUUCGUUCAUAAAUUAUGACACACCCUCUGGUGUUGGUUCAUAUACAUGUCAUGUAUAAACUUUGAAAUCAUAACGGUUCUCAAGAUAUAGAGCGGACACGAUCUUCACCACAGGACACAGGGUUGUCAACUGAAACCAAAGUUUUUUUACCUUGAC
rnacentral:lncRNA from 1 species